rnacentral:rRNA from 1 species
UUAAAUUGAGAGUUUGAUCCUGGCUCAGGAUGAACGCUGGCGGCGUGCCUAAUACAUGCAAGUCGAACGAAACUUCUUUAUCACCGAGUGCUUGCACUCACCGAUAAAGAGUUGAGUGGCGAACGGGUGAGUAACACGUGGGCAACCUGCCCAAAAGAGGGGGAUAACACUUGGAAACAGGUGCUAAUACCGCAUAACCAUAGUUACCGCAUGGUAACUAUGUAAAAGGUGGCUAUGCUACCGCUUUUGGAUGGGCCCGCGGCGCAUUAGCUAGUUGGUGGGGUAAAGGCUUACCAAGGCAAUGAUGCGUAGCCGAACUGAGAGGUUGAUCGGCCACAUUGGGACUGAGACACGGCCCAAACUCCUACGGGAGGCAGCAGUAGGGAAUCUUCCACAAUGGGCGAAAGCCUGAUGGAGCAACGCCGCGUGGGUGAAGAAGGUCUUCGGAUCGUAAAACCCUGUUGUUAGAGAAGAAAGUGCGUGAGAGUAACUGUUCACGUUUCGACGGUAUCUAACCAGAAAGCCACGGCUAACUACGUGCCAGCAGCCGCGGUAAUACGUAGGUGGCAAGCGUUAUCCGGAUUUAUUGGGCGUAAAGGGAACGCAGGCGGUCUUUUAAGUCUGAUGUGAAAGCCUUCGGCUUAACCGGAGUAGUGCAUUGGAAACUGGGAGACUUGAGUGCAGAAGAGGAGAGUGGAACUCCAUGUGUAGCGGUGAAAUGCGUAGAUAUAUGGAAGAACACCAGUGGCGAAAGCGGCUCUCUGGUCUGUAACUGACGCUGAGGUUCGAAAGCGUGGGUAGCAAACAGGAUUAGAUACCCUGGUAGUCCACGCCGUAAACGAUGAAUGCUAAGUGUUGGAGGGUUUCCGCCCUUCAGUGCUG